AUGAAGAGUUUGAUCCUGGCUCAGGAUGAACGCUAGCUACAGGCUUAACACAUGCAAGUCGAGGGGCAGCAUUUCAGUUUGCUUGCAAACUGGAGAUGGCGACCGGCGCACGGGUGAGUAACACGUAUCCAACCUGCCGAUAACUCGGGGAUAGCCUUUCGAAAGAAAGAUUAAUACCCGAUGGUAUAAUCAGACCGCAUGGUCUUGUUAUUAAAGAAUUUCGGUUAUCGAUGGGGAUGCGUUCCAUUAGGCAGUUGGUGAGGUAACGGCUCACCAAACCUUCGAUGGAUAGGGGUUCUGAGAGGAAGGUCCCCCACAUUGGAACUGAGACACGGUCCAAACUCCUACGGGAGGCAGCAGUGAGGAAUAUUGGUCAAUGGGCGCAGGCCUGAACCAGCCAAGUAGCGUGAAGGAUGACUGCCCUAUGGGUUGUAAACUUCUUUUAUAUGGGAAUAAAGUUUUCCACGUGUGGAAUUUUGUAUGUACCAUAUGAAUAAGGAUCGGCUAACUCCGUGCCAGCAGCCGCGGUAAUACGGAGGAUCCGAGCGUUAUCCGGAUUUAUUGGGUUUAAAGGGAGCGUAGGUGGACAGUUAAGUCAGUUGUGAAAGUUUGCGGCUCAACCGUAAAAUUGCAGUUGAUACUGGCUGUCUUGAGUACAGUAGAGGUGGGCGGAAUUCGUGGUGUAGCGGUGAAAUGCUUAGAUAUCACGAAGAACUCCGAUUGCGAAGGCAGCUCACUGGACUGCAACUGACACUGAUGCUCGAAAGUGUGGGUAUCAAACAGGAUUAGAUACCCUGGUAGUCCACACAGUAAACGAUGAAUACUCGCUGUUUGCGAUAUACAGUAAGCGGCCAAGCGAAAGCAUUAAGUAUUCCACCUGGGGAGUACGCCGGCAACGGUGAAACUCAAAGGAAUUGACGGGGGCCCGCACAAGCGGAGGAACAUGUGGUUUAAUUCGAUGAUACGCGAGGAACCUUACCCGGGCUUAAAUUGCAUUUGAAUAUAUUGGAAACAGUAUAGCCGUAAGGCAAAUGUGAAGGUGCUGCAUGGUUGUCGUCAGCUCGUGCCGUGAGGUGUCGGCUUAAGUGCCAUAACGAGCGCAACCCUUAUCUUUAGUUACUAACAGGUCAUGCUGAGGACUCUAGAGAGACUGCCGUCGUAAGAUGUGAGGAAGGUGGGGAUGACGUCAAAUCAGCACGGCCCUUACGUCCGGGGCUACACACGUGUUACAAUGGGGGGUACAGAAGGCAGCUACCUGGUGACAGGAUGCUAAUCCCAAAAGCCUCUCUCAGUUCGGAUCGAAGUCUGCAACCCGACUUCGUGAAGCUGGAUUCGCUAGUAAUCGCGCAUCAGCCAUGGCGCGGUGAAUACGUUCCCGGGCCUUGUACACACCGCCCGUCAAGCCAUGAAAGCCGGGGGUACCUGAAGUACGUAACCGCAAGGAGCGUCCUAGGGUAAAACUGGUAAUUGGGGCUAAGUCGUAACAAGGUAGCCGUACCGGAAGGUGCGGCUGGAACACCUCCUU
rnacentral:rRNA from 1 species